AGCUCCAAUAGCGUAUAUUUAAGUUGUUGCAGUUAAAAAGCUCGUAGUUGGAUUUCGGGUGGGCGCUACCGGUCCGCCGAUUCGGUGUGCACUGGUCGCGCCCAUCUUGCUGCCGGGGACAGGCUGCUGGGCUUAACUGUCUGGCACCUGGAGUCGGCGAGGUUACUUUGAGUAAAUUAGAGUGUUCAAAGCAGGCCUACGCUCUGAAUACAUUAGCAUGGAAUAACACGAUAGGACUCUGGCCUAUCUCGUUGGUCUGUGGGACCGGAGUAAUGAUUAAGAGGGACAGUCGGGGGCAUUCGUAUUUCAUUGUCAGAGGUGAAAUUCUUGGAUUUAUGAAAGACGAACUUCUGCGAAAGCAUUUGCCAAGGAUGUUUUCA
rnacentral:rRNA from 1 species